UCCCUCACCAUCCUUU
rnacentral:sRNA from 1 species